rfam:Schistosoma margrebowiei strain Zambia genome assembly, scaffold: SMRZ_scaffold0005060
AUCCGGCUGACGAGUCACGAAAAGGGGGAAACGCGCGUCCUGGAU